GACCUGGUACGGUGGUCCGCCUUCACGGUGUGUACUGCUGGACCGGGUUCUACCUCUUGGUGAGCCGGCAUGCCCUUCACUGGGUGUGUCGGGGAACCAGGACUUUUACCUUGAGAAAAUUAGAGUGUUCAAAGCAGGCCUACGCCCGAAUACAUUAGCAUGGCAUAAUAAAAUAGGACG
rnacentral:rRNA from 1 species